rnacentral:lncRNA from 1 species
CAGAAUUCUUAGAUUUCAACCUUGUAGACCAUGAAAUGUACAAUGUAGCAAUGUCAACUAUCAUGAGUCAAUCAGUCGUCUGCUGAAAUGUAUACAGUUUGGAAAUUAUAUUUCUUGUUCUAUCCAGAACAAUGAUUCAUCCUUCUAGUGAAGCUGUGGCUUGCCUCUGCAUGUUUUGCAAUGCUGGCUGGCUUCAUAAUAGCAUAACUGCGUGUUGUGACUCCUACCAGAUUUCUCGGCAAACAUCUGAGCGAGGAGCAGGCUAAUUCUUUGAACGAUGGCAUUCGCUUUUAGACAAUUCUUCCUGGUAGCUGCAGAUUUAAUGCUUGCCUUGGUCCUCUCCAGCUUCCUUUAUGCUUUCGUGUGCAUCUGCACUGCAUUCCUCACCUGCUUUGUCAUCGUUUUCUCCUUGGGGAUUGUGAAGAAAAUGGAGAGAAAUAUUGACAUAAAAGGGAGAGCUGUUAUGAUUCUAGUGUCCAACAGCUCCAUCGGACGGACGUUUGCCAGGAACCUGGACAAGGCAGGUUUCAGAGUGUCUGCUGCAUGCUGGCCACCUGAAAGAAAGUGGGCAAAGGUUCUGAAGGAGGAGUAUUCUCCAGACAUGAAGCUGGCACAACUCCCUAUAACUGAGGACGAGUAUAAGAUGACAAUGAAAACCUUGAUAGAAAAGCACUUAUCUCUGAAAGGCAUGUAUGGGCUGAUGAAGAAGCCUUCGGUCUUGAUGUGGGAAGAACAGGAGCCAGACACAAACAGAUUCUCUGAGGGAAAAACUUCUUAUAAAUGGAAGGAUGUUUGCAUAACUCCCGCCUUCCUCACGGCACUUCUCUUUCUCCCUGUGAACUAUGUAGUGACUUUUGCAAAGAAGAAAAGCCAGCAGUUACUUACUAGCCUGCUGAAAUCCAAAAACUGACAGUACAGAAGGAAACUUGUGGAAUGACUCAAUGGGUUAAUAAUGCCAUAGUGAAAAGGAGCUGCAGGGAGGAGUAGCUUGGAACAGGACUGACUGAUUCCUGACUUACCAUUCAGCGCUUGAUUCUUGCGUCUUCAAACUUAGUCAUAAGACAAUGAGAAAACAUUGUGAAUUAUGUCUGGAUAGAAGACUAUUCCCCUCAUUAUAUUGUGGAUCUGCAUUCAAAUCACAUUUGUAACCAAGAAUAUGGUGAAUGUUGAAAUUUUACUGGGAUAAAUGAUCUAGGUGUCUGUUACAGCUGUCCCCCUGCUGCAUUCCUUUUUCCCCCUCUCCUUUCUGUUUGUCCUGUGUGGCUGCCCCUCCCGGCCAUUGUGCUAACUAAAGUCACAGCCCUAUUCAUAGGAAUGGCUUGUACAGACUAACUGGAGCCAUUGCUCUGCCUAGGGAGGGGGCUUCUUGCCUCUUUGUUUGGCUCCUUUGUUCAGACCAGGGCUCGGUGUGGGGGGCGCUGCCCAGAAAUGCAAGACCUGAAGUGGCCAACUAAUUAAGCAUAUGAGUCAUACCUGUGGCUCAGAACAUGCCCAGGCAUGCCUAUGCUUACCUGCAGCCUUUCCCUGCCUUCUCUCCUCCCCUGUAUCAAGAGGAGCCAAUCAAAAGUACUGGUGGGAAACUGCCUGAGUUUGCCUUUAAAGCCGGACAUUUUCUGAUCAGACCUCGGAGAAGGUCCUUGCUUUGCCACCUCGUCUGAACAGCUAGGGGUCUUCAGGGGGCCCUCUCCCCACUCUCAUUUGUUUUUGAGCGUACCCCUGUUUUUAAACUCCCCUCCCACGAACAACAAAUUUGUGCCUGGAGAUCUCCUGAUUAUUGUAAGCGAAUCGAGUCCUCUCUCCAUCCUCCGAUGCUACUGCUGUUCCUGCCUCUGUGCUUGCUGCUGUCCUGGGGAUUGGUAAGAACUCCCUCUUGCAGACUCCCCCUGUCCUAGCUGCUGGCCUUGUUUCCCC